GAUCCCCAGCUUAUCAAAGAAAUCAAACAGGCUGUGACUAUUCCUGUAAUGGCCAAGGCUCGUAUUGGUCAUUUCGUGGAGGCUCAAAUCCUUGAGGCUAUCGGAGUAGAUUACGUUGAUGAAUCGGAGGUGCUUACCCUUGCUGACGAUGAGAACCACAUCAACAAGCACAAUUUCCGUAUCCCCUUUGUCUGUGGUUGCCGUAAUUUGGGUGAGGCCCUUCGCCGUAUCCGCGAGG
rnacentral:lncRNA from 1 species